rnacentral:lncRNA from 1 species
UUUGCGUGGACAGCACUUAGAAAACCAGAGCAAAGGCCGAGACGGGUGAGAAGAUUAUUUCCUCUUGCCGAAGCUGUGGCAGCUCUUACAACCGUAUUAUCAUCACCACCGCCCCAGGUGGCCUUCCCUCCUGUCCAGAG